rnacentral:rRNA from 1 species
UGCAAGUCGAACGAAGUAGCAAUACUUAGUGGCAGACGGGUGAGUAACAUGUGGGUAUCUGCCCUUUGGCCUGGAAUAACACGAGGAAACUUGUGCUAAUACCGGAUAAGUCUUUACGGAGAAAGCUUUAUGCACCAUUGGAUGAGCCUGCACUUGAUUAGUUUGUUGGUGGGGUAAUGGCCUACCAAGACUGUGAUCAAUAGCUGAUUUGAGAGGAUGAUCAGCCACAUUGGGACUGAGACACGGCCCAAACUCCUACGGGAGGCAGCAGUGGGGAAUCUUGCACAAUGGAGGAAACUCUGAUGCAGCGAUGCCGCGUGAGUGAAGAAGGCCUUUGGGUUGUAAAGCUCUUUCGUCGGGGAAGAAAAUGACUGUACCCGAAUAAGAAGGUCCGGCUAACUUCGUGCCAGCAGCCGCGGUAAUACGAAGGGACCUAGCGUAGUUCGGAAUUACUGGGCUUAAAGAGUUCGUAGGUGGUUGAAAAAGUUGGUGGUGAAAUCCCAGAGCUUAACUCUGGAACUGCCAUCAAAACUUUUCAGCUAGAGUUUGAUAGAGGAAAGCAGAAUUUCUAGUGUAGAGGUGAAAUUCGUAGAUAUUAGAAAGAAUACCAAUUGCGAAGGCAGCUUUCUGGAUCAUCACUGACACUGAGGAACGAAAGCAUGGGUAGCGAAGAGGAUUAGAUACCCUCGUAGUCCAUGCCGUAAACGAUGUGUGUUAGACGUUGGAAAUUUAUUUUCAGUGUCGCAGCGAAAGCGAUAAACACACCGCCUGGGGAGUACGACCGCAAGGUUAAAACUCAAAUGAAUUGACGGGGACCCGCACAAGUAGUGGAGCAUGUGGUUUAAUUCGAAGAUACGCGCAGAACCUUACCAACACUUGACAUGUUCGUCGCGACUUUAAGAGAUUAAAGUUUUCGGUUCGGC